GAUCAUGGCUCAGGAUGAACGCUGGCGGCGUGCCUAACACAUGCAAGUCGAACGGAGCUGAUUUGAUGAGAUCUUCGGAUGGAUUUAAAACAGCUUAGUGGCGGACGGGUGAGUAACGCGUGGGUAACCUGCCUCACACUGGGGGAUAACAGUUAGAAAUAGCUGCUAAUACCGCAUAAGCGCACGGUUCCUCAUGGAACAGUGUGAAAAACUCCGGUGGUGUGAGAUGGACCCG
rnacentral:rRNA from 1 species